rnacentral:rRNA from 1 species
ACCUGGCGGCGUGCCUAUACAUGCAAGUCGAGCGGACAGAUGGGAGCUUGCUCCCUGAUGUUAGCGGCGGACGGGUGAGUAACACGUGGGUAACCUGCCUGUAAGACUGGGAUAACUCCGGGAACCGGGGCUAAUACCGGAUGCUUGAUUGAACCGCAUGGUUCAAUUAUAAAAGGUGGCUUUUACCUACCACUUACAAAUGGACCCGCGGCGCAUUACCUAUUUGGUGAGGUAACGGCUCACCAAGGCAACAAUCCUUACCCAACCUGAAAGGGUGAUCGGCCACACUGGAACUGAAACACGGCCCAAACUCCUACGGGAGGCACCAUUAGGGAAUCUUCCCCAUUGGACAAAAUUCUGACGAACCACCCCCCCGGGAUUGAUGAAGGUUUUCGAAUCGUAAAACUCUUUUGUUAGGGAAAAACAAUUACCGUUCGAAUAGGGCGGUACCUUGCCGGUCCCUAACCAAAAAGCCACGGCUAACUACUUGCCACCACCCCC